rnacentral:rRNA from 1 species
AUUGAACGCUGGCGGCAGGCCUAACACAUGCAAGUCGAGCGGAUGAAGGGAGCUUGCUCCUGGAUUCAGCGGCGGACGGGUGAGUAAUGCCUAGGAAUCUGCCUGGUCGUGGGGGAUAACGUCCGGAAACGGGCGCUAAUACCGCAUACGUCCUGAGGGAGAAAGUGGGGGAUCUUCGGACCUCACGCUAUCAGAUGAGCCUAGGUCGGAUUAGCUAGUUGAUGGGGUAAAGGCCUACCAAGGCGACGAUCCGUAACUGGUCUGAGAGGAUGAUCAGUCACACUGGAGCUGAGACACGGUCCAGACUCCUACGGGAGGCAGCAGUGGGGAAUAUUGGACAAUGGGCGAAAGCCUGAUCCAGCCAUGCCGCGUGUGUGAAGAAGGUCUUCGGAUUGUAAAGCACUGUAAGUUGGGAGGAAGGGCAGUAAGUUAAUACCUUGCUGUUUUGACGUUACCAACAGAAUAAGCACCGGCUAACUUCGUG